rnacentral:tRNA from 1 species
UUUAGGGAGACCUACACCCCUCAGAAAUCGAAAAACAUACAGUUAUAUAGAUACUGAGUUGGUCUAACCUAGGUCGGUCGCAGAUAUUUGCAAUAUGUUCAACGCUUUCAAACUAUGAUUUGGUUCGAAAUGGGCUAUUAGCUCAGGUGGUUAGAGCGCACCCCUGAUAAGGGUGAGGUCCCUGGUUCGAGUCCAGGAUGGCCCACCUGAAAGUAAUUAGUAAUUGCUAAUUCGGAAUUCGUAAUUAACUACGAAUUAAGAAUUAUGAAUUACGAAUUAUAAUCUGGGGGUUUAGCUCAGUUGGUAGAGCGCCUGCUUUGCAAGCAGGAUGUCAGCGGUUCGAGUCCGCUAACCUCCACCUGUGGCGAUUGCCAUUGAUAAAAUAGAGUGAGAAACCAGCAACAUGACUUAACUGAAGUCAGACUGCUGAGUUAGUUCUCAGUCAGAACCUUGAAAACUGCAUAGUAACGCGAAAUUAGCAGGCAGACACGGACAUUCCGAAAGGAUGUUUUUGUGAAUGCAAAUUGUGAAACACCAAAUGAAUUGAGU